GAUGAAGAACGUAGCGAAAUGCGAUAAGUAAUGUGAAUUGCAGAAUUCAGUGAAUCAUCGAAUCUUUGAACGCACAUUGCGCCCGCCAGUAUUCUGGCGGGCAUGCCUGUUCGAGCGUCAUUACAACCCUCAGGCCCCCGGGCCUGGCGUUGGGGAUCGGCGGAAGCCCCCUGCGGGCACAACGCCGUCCCCCAAAUACAGUGGCGGUCCCGCCGCAGCUUCCAUUGCGUAGUAGCUAACACCUCGCAACUGGAGAGCGGCGCGGCCACGCCGUAAAACACCCAACUUCUGAAUGUUGACCUUGAAUCAGGUAGGAAUACCCGCUGAACUUAAGCAUAUCAAUAGCGGAGGA
rnacentral:misc_RNA from 1 species